rnacentral:lncRNA from 1 species
AAUGCGCAUGUGUGUGUGUGCAUUCAAAAAUGUGUUGAUUGUAAUUAAAUCUUGUCUAUGGUAAUUGGGUAAGAAAGCAGCUCCAAUUGUGUUGUUUUUCAGAUAAGGAUCCUGCAGCUCAGAGUCACCUCUUGUUAUUCUUUAAUGGUAGCGUCUGGACACACUUAGUUCAGUUCUUCUUCUACUAUUCCAAAUGGAUGGACCACAAGGUCUGUCAGUCCUCUGCUUCAGUAUUAAUUCACCAUCAAAAAACACUUAUUGAAAGCCUUUUAUGUACCUGUUCCUAUACUUGGUACCAGGUUGCAAAGAUAUAUCUUUGAAUUCUUGGACUUAUGAGUGUAGUGGUGGAAAUAUACAGGAUACCCAAAAUGUGAUGUGAAAUUGCUAAGCAGAGGAAUGUUGCUCUGUGCUCUGGAGCCCAGAGGAGAGGAGCCACUGAUUUAUCAAAGAAACUAUUGGCUUUUAAAUAAGGUAAUCAUGUUUUCUUGCUUGCCUUGAUGAUCCAGUUUAAACUU